AUGGCGGCUGGAACACGAGAAUCCUAGCGACCCCAGACACCCUUGGUCUUUAAAGGAGUCGUCUUUAGUGAGAUGAAGGGAGGGUUUGACAGGGAUAAAGACGUGCACACCUGCAGUGCGGACUUUCACAGCCUGGCAAUGAGGGCUUUCAGCCUCACAGGUGCCCCAAGCGCCAUCUCUGCCGGGAGCUAUGUGGAUGCAUCGGUGACAAAAUGGAAAGCCUCUGGUCCUGGCGGAGCUUGUUCCAAUCAGGAGAGACCCGAAAGCAAGAAACACAGUGAACAAAUGCAUGAUGCCCAGGGGUGGAUGGCCGCAGCACACGCCACCCAUCGCCGUGACCACACUGUCCCUCAGAGGAGCCGCUGGCCACGUGUGUCCCGUCCACAUGGAGAUGUACUUGAAGAUUCUUUACACACUGGGUUUCAAAGACUUAAGGUCUCACUCUGUUGCCCAGGCUGGAGUGAACCGGUGCAGUCACAGCUCACUGAAGCCUCCAACUCCUGGGAUCAGGCAAUCCUCUCACCUCAAUGUCCCACGGGGCUGGGACUGUAGGCAAAAAGGACGCCGCUUUCGCAUCCAGCCCACCCUAAGAAUGCCCCUGGACUUCCCAGUACACUCAGCUCCACCAGGCACCAGGCCCUGCAGAAGCCACAACCUGUGACGAAGACAAUGAGUCACUCUUGGUGUGUGGCACAGCGUGAUGUGGCGACACAGAGUCUCAUUAUGUGGUCCAGGCUGCUCUGGAACUCCUGGGCUCAAGUGACCCUCCUGCCUCAGCCUCCGAAAGCACUCGCAUGACAAGCAUGAGCCACUGUGCAGGACCCACAGCACUUAAAUUCCAAAAUCACCUUGAAACCCUGACCUUCCACCUGCCCUGGUGGCUUCCAGAGGUCAGUUCCUCUUCCCGUGCCGAAGGUUUCUUGUCUUUCGCGGCCCAGGUAAGGUCACUCCAGGUGCUCCCUCUGCUUUUGAAGGCCUUUGACUGAGAAGCCACUCUGGGUCCUAUUAGGACCCCAAGGCGGCUCCAUUCGUACUCGCACAUCUCCCGGCCGGUUUAAGUCACGCUGGCCAGGCUAUUUCCACUUCACUCUCCUAAUUUCUCCAAUCCCAUCCUCUGCUGCAUCACCUUUUCUUUCUCUGAGAACCCAACCCUGCAGGAGGAACGCUGAUGCUGGGGUCCUUUAACUAGAACGCUAACGCCAGAGCACUUCCCCGGGCGCUGGGGGGCGGGCUGCCGGGCGGGGCCUGGCGCUGCCACCGGGGUGUCCCGCGGGGAGGGGGGCGCUGGGCCUAGGGAGGCUGCGCUGCUGGCUCGGGGAGCGCGCGGCGUACGGAUGUCAGGGCCAGGGCGCAUGGAGACGACGGGCCGGGCAUCACGUAGGCGCUCGCGGCGGGCGGGGCGGCGCUGACAGCGCCCCAACAUGCAGCACCCGUGCCGCCCCGAGCGCUCAAGGGCGAAGGGAAGGUCACCGGGACCGAGGGCGGGGGCCCAUUCCCGCUCCAUCCUUGUGCAGUGCGCGGUCCCGAAACGGGAGGAAAUCCGCCAUCCGCGCCUUUCCACGCAUCUGCGGCAGGAGGAACCGGGAAAAUAAAAAUCAAAACCCAGCCCCGGGCGCGUCGCGUCUCCAGCCCGCGCUAUCACUAAGGCUCCCAGGUGGCGUUCGCCUGGGAAGCGCCGAUCUACCCGCCAGGGGCUGCGCGGCCUGGGGCGCUCCACCGUCCGGGCACCGGCGCCCUCACGUGCACCCGGGGCCUGGGGCGUGCAGUCUCCACCACCUCCGGCUCUUCAAUGUUAAAUGUCCUCCUGGCGCGCCCGCGUCGUGGACCCAGACUCGGGUCCCUCCUGGAGAGCCGCUUCCACAUUGCAGGGCAGGGGAAACCCAGAGCCCGCGCCGCGGCGCCGCUGACGUCCCGGAGUCCCCGCUUCCUGGUCCUUCUCCUCCGCGGAGGUCUGCGGGGAGGGCCUGGGACCCAUUUUAGUUUUCGGUUUUCUCACGAGCCGAAAGGCAACAGCACAUGCGAGCGCAGGAAACCCAUUUUUAAAAUCUCCCAGCGGAAACGCGAGGGGCUGCCGGACCGCCUCGGAGACGCCAGGCGGGAACCCAGAGCACUCCCUCCGCGUCCCGCAUUGCAGCAGCCAGGACCCCGCCCACGCCGCGCGGGGCACGAGGCGACAGGAGGCGCGCGGGGACCCGGCCGUUUCUUCCUCGACAUGCUGGGGGGCGGCGUGGGGCGGAGUUGAAGGGCGGGGGGCCACUUAGGAAGUGAUCGCGCUGUACCCACGCUUCGGAGGGGAAGCCCGGCCGGGUCCUACAGCUCAGAGGCAGAACGACUCCCGAGGGUCCUCCAGGCGACCCCCUCUGUCAGGCUCAAUUUAAAACAUAAACCGGAGGGGGUGGAAAGCUCACUAUCUUCCGGAUGGAGGUUCCUACCGCCAUGUCCCUUCCUCCUCCGCCCCACCCGGCAAGGACCCGGGGGCUGCCUUGCUGGCUCAUGCCGCCCCGCAGGUACCCCUGCCGCUGCCGGGCACGGGCUUCUCCCCAGUUCUCCCCAUCGCUUCCCCGCUCUUCUCCCUGGUUCUUCCCAUCGCUCCUCCACCUUUCCCCGCGUCCUCCCGUCGCUUCCCCCCUCUUCUGCCCCAUCCCCCAAAUCCCCUUCGCCUUGUUCUCCUCGGCUCCGUCCGCCCCUCCCUCGCCGCCGGGAGGGAGGUGCGCACCUUGAGCAUCCUCGCCUCUGGUCAGCACGCCGACUGCCUUGCCGGCCCCGGAGAGGUGCUCCAGGAACUUCCGCAAGGAGCCCUUAGGGGCCUGGGAGUCGUCAGUGUCCAUGGCGAGGAGGUCGAGAGGAGCCGCUAGUCCCGGUGCGCAGUAGGCAAUGUGGACCCUGCCCGCGCCCGCGGGAGUCGGAACUGCUGCCCCGCCCCGCCCCAGGGCCAAUGGGCGGUGACGGGCGGGGCCCGAGCGCACGGGAGGGGCUGCGGGAGCGGGGGCGUGGCUAGGUGCAGGGAAAGGGGCAGGUGCGGGCGGGGUGCGGGAGUGGGCAGGAGCACCUACGCCGGGGUCGUCGUAGGUGGGGGCCGUGCUAGUGGUGAGGUGGGCCGCAGACGUGGGGAUAGCGCCACAGGGCCUUGGUUUGCUGAGAGUCUUCACACUCAAUCCAAAAUGGGGAUAAUGAAGUCUCACGGAUUCGGCUUCAGCUGAGAGCUGCCUCCAGCACAGUCUUGUGUGAGUAACAGUUUCUAUGUUUGGUG